rnacentral:misc_RNA from 1 species
GAUGAAGAACGCAACGAAAUGCGAUAAGUAGUGUGAAUUGCAGAAUUCAGUGAAUCAUCGAAUCUUUGAACGCACAUUGCGCCCCUUGGUAUUCCAUGGGGCAUGCCUGUUCGAGCGUCAUUUGUACCUUCAAGCUUUGCUUGGUGUUGGGUGUUUGUCUCGCCUUUGCGUGUAGACUCGCCUUAAAAUAAUUGGCAGCCGGCGUAUUGAUUUCGGAGCGCAGUACAUCUCGCGCUUUGCACUCAUAACGACAGCGUCCAAAAGUACAUUUUACGCUCGUGACCUCGGAUCAGGUAGGGAUACCCGCUGAACUUAAGCAUAUCAAUAAGCGGAGGA